UGCCAGCCGCCGCGGUAAGACAGAGGGUGCAAACGUUGCUCGGAAUUACUGGGCGUAAAGCGCGUGUAGGCGGAUCGGUAAGUCAGAUGUGAAAGCCCUGGGCUCAACCUAGGAACUGCAUUUGAAACUGCCGGUCUAGAGUGGUGGAGAGGGAAGUGGAAUUCCUGGUGUAGAGGUGAAAUUCGUAGAUAUCAGGAGGAACACCAGUGGCGAAGGCGGCUUCCUGGACACCAACUGACGCUGAGACGCGAAAGCGUGGGGAGCAAACAGGAUUAGAUA
rnacentral:rRNA from 1 species